GGGGAUGGAGAGAGAGAAGAUGGAAAAAAUCUCUAUACUUUUUCUUCAAACUAUUCUAUAGCAGCAGCAAGAGUCGUAAAUGGAAAGGUCGUUCCUUUAUUAGCAAUUUAGCAUUCAAGCCGAGGACGUACAGGGCAAUUUACAGAACAAAUCCUUCCCAAGUAAGGUGGUUGUUUUUAUUUACUCUAUUUUUCUUCCCAAGUAAAGUAAUUUGGCCAUUAAAUCACAAUUUAUGUGAGAUUCACACAUUUGAAAAGAAGGAAGUGAUGUUUUUUGGGAGAAUAAAAUAGUGGUAAAAUUUCAACAAUUGAAUUAAUUUGUGUUUUAUAUUAAUGAAAGAUAAUGAAAGAUAAUUUGAAUCGUAGAUAAUGAAAGAUAAUUCCAAUCGUAGAUAAUGAAAAAUAAUUUGAAAGAUUCAAAAAUAUUUGUGUUUUAUAUUAUAGAUAUAUACAAGUCUUAAUUCAUUUAUCGAUCCUUUGAAUGCUUGGAUAUUUAUACAUUUUUUAUAUAUUUUAAAUGACAGAUACAAAUACGACAGAUUCAAAUACAGAUGUUGACGUGUUAAACACAUCUCAUUCUGUAGAAAAACAAAUUAAACCAGCUAGGUUAAUAUGUGUAUAAGUCUUAUUCAUUUUUCGAUUCUUUGAAUACUUAGAUAUUUAUAUAUUUUUUAUUUAUUUUACUUGACAAAUAUAAAUAUAACAGAUCGACAGAUACUAUGUGUCACACAUUUCAGUCUGUAAGAAAACAAAUUAAACUAGCUGAGUUGAUAUGUGUUUGACACAUCAACAUCUUUCAAUUAAACCAGCUGAGUUGAUAUGUGCGUGAAUCUAUAAUUUAUAUCUGUGCAUCUAACCUUAAUCCCAUCUAGACUCACUCCCAUUUGAGUUCAUAAUAAAGAAUGUAACCCAUGCGAGCACGAGGAUGGCAACGGGGGGCGGGUUCGGAGCGGAUUCGACCUCCCCACCCCCGACCCGUUUAGUAAUUUUUUUAAUUAUAUAUAUAUUUUUUAUAUAAUUAUAUAUAUAUAUAUAU
rnacentral:lncRNA from 1 species